rnacentral:pre_miRNA from 1 species
AUUGCAGUACCUGGAAUUAAGUUGACUGUGCAGCCUUUUUUUAAAGCAAUGGCUUCAGCUCACCAUUCUCAAGUCAGCAACUUGAUUCCAGCAAUUGCGAUGC